GAUGAACGCUGGCGGCGUGCCUAAUACAUGCAAGUCGAGCGAACGGACGAGAAGCUUGCUUCUCUGAUGUUAGCGGCGGACGGGUGAGUAACACGUGGAUAACCUACCUAUAAGACUGGGAUAACUUCGGGAAACCGUAGCUAAUACCGGAUAAUAUUUUGAACCGCAUGGUUCAAAAGUGAAAGACGGUCUUGCUGUCACUUAUAGAUGGAUCCGCGCUGCAUUAGCUAGUUGGUAAGGUAACGGCUUACCAAGGCAACGAUGCAUAGCCGACCUGAGAGGGUGAUCAGCCACACUGGAACUGAGACACGGUCCAGACUCCUACGGGAGGCAGCAGUAGGGAAUCUUCCGCAAUGGGCGAAAGCCUGACGGAGCAACGCCGCGUGAGUGAAGAAGGUCUUCGGAUCGUAAAACUCUUUUAUUAGGGAAGAACAUAUGUGUAAGUAACUGUGCACAUCUUGACGGUACCUAAUCAGAAAGCCACGGCUAACUACGUG
rnacentral:rRNA from 1 species